CAGAGACUGAUGUCAAGGAGAUUAAAGAGCUCCUUACCAGUAGCCAACAAGCUACUUGAACCCUCUGUAAUAAAAGGUGUACCAGAAAAGUUAAGAGGCAAGUGUUUAAGGCUAGAUAUGACUCAUCUACUAGGGAUUUACCGGAACUGAAUAUUGGGGAACAAAUCCGUAUGAAACAGCUUCCUGGAGAUCGAACAGGCCGCUGGAGAAUGGGAACCUGUC